UGCCAGCCGCCGCGGUAAGACGGGAGAUGCAAGCGUUAUUCGGAUUUACUGGGCUUAAAGGGUGCGUAGGCUGCACGGAAAGUUGGGUGUGAAAGCCCUCAGCUCAACUGAGGAAUUGCAUCCAAAACUGCCGUGCUUGAGGGAGACAGAGGUGAGCGGAACUCAAGGUGGAGCGGUGAAAUGCGUUGAUAUCUUGAGGAACACCGGUGGCGAAAGCGGCUCACUGGGUCUCUUCUGACGCUGAGGCACGAAAGCUAAGGUAACAAACGGGAUUAGAUA
rnacentral:rRNA from 1 species